rnacentral:rRNA from 1 species
AGCAGCCGCGGUAAUUCCAGCUCCAAUAGCGUAUAUUAAAGUUGUUGCAGUUAAAAAGCUCGUAGUUGAAUUUCGGGAUCAAGGAAUCGGUCAUGCCUCGGUAUGUACUGGUUUUAUUGGUUCUCACCUUCUAAAGAACCAUAAUGUCAUUUAUUUGAUGUUAUGGGGAAUUAGGACUGUUACCUUGAAAAAAUUAGAGUGUUUAAAGCAAGCUCACGCUUGAAUACAUUAGCAUGGAAUAAUGAAAUAGGACGUUUGAUUCUAUUUUGUUGGUUUCUAGGAUCGACGUAAUGAUUAAUAGGGAUAGUUGGGGGCAUUAGUAUUCAAUUGUCAGAGGUGAAAUUCUUGGAUUUAUUGAAGACUAACUACUGCGAAAGCAUUUGCCAAGGAUGUUUUCAUUAAUCAAGAACGAAAGUUAGGGGAUCGAAGACGAUCAGAUACCGUCGUAGU